UGGUGGUGGCCUGUGAGCCUUCAGGUGGGUAGGAUGACAGCAGCAGGUGCCCAGGAGGAGGGGAGGAACAAAGAUCUUGUUUUUGUGCCAUCAUCCCUGAUACAUAAUGAAAACCCAGGGUAGGGGUGGGGUGGGAAUGGAGUGGGGAGAUCUGACUCUGCAGCCAUCCCUCACCACUCCUGCUUGGACAUCGCCAGGCUCAGCUAGAGAAGGCAGAAAAAGUUCCUCCAACUCCUUCCCCAGGCACCUAUGCAGGCUCCACACUCCUGCCUGAACAGCUAUGAUUUUAAAAGCCAUCGAGUCAUGAAGAGAAGUGUGCCAGUGUGUGCUGGACUCAGUUUCCCCUGUGCACCAUUUUCCCCAGUCAGCCCUGCACCUUCCAAGAACUAUGACCCGAAGGCACACCCUAGUCAGCUCAGGCCCCACAUUCCUGCAAAAAUAAGGCUCCAGGGCUCCCUCAUCGCAGCAUGGGUUCUGCAGGAAGCCCCAGUGCCAAGUGGCUUUCAAAACUAGCCUCAGCUAGCAACGUGGCGGCUAUUUCAGCGACCGACAAAAGCAGCUCCCCCAGCCUCCCUUGGUGUUUGUGGUCCCUUUUGUUCCAGCCAGGCACCAUGAGGAAAAUGCAGCAACCGUUUGGAAACAAAGGCUCGGGCAGGCUCUCUCCAGUCUGAAAAGCCCACUUUCACUUGAGUUUCAGCGUGAGUGCCAGACAGAGGCCUGUUCUGAUGUCCUGACAUGCUACAAUUAUGCAGAUUUACACAGCAAGCAUAAGACCUUCUCCGCAUGUAUGGCUUCCCCAUUCCCAAGCAGACCAUGAACUUCCUAAGGAAAGUGACCGAAUUCCGCACUUCUCAACCCUCGCGGAGGGGCAGGGAGAUGGAUGAAGAAAUAAAGAGAGGGUGAAAUCAUUCUGGGAAGUUUCCUUGAAAGGGCCCAAAUCUGCCUCUUUCUGGGGCCCAGCGAGGACCCUGGAAGACAGAGAUCCUAGAAAAAGCAGAGGGAAAAGAAGAGGAAGAGAACAUGGAGAAACCGCCAGGGAACAGAACUCUUGGUCCAGGAGGCGCAAACCACAAGUGCAAUUAGUCAAAAAAAAACCCUGAAAUUAAAAAAUGAUUCCAAGCUGAGGAGGGGAGUACAUAAGUUACUGCAGCCCCAAGACAUUUAUGAAUAAUACAAAUGCUGUGAGGUGCUGAGCCUGAGCACAGUUAAUUAAUAUGUACAGGAGCAGAGAUGCACUUGAAAAACAAUAGUGCUGUUUCCCCCUCGCCAGAAGUAAAAAUAUUUCCAGAAAGACU
rnacentral:lncRNA from 1 species